UACGGAGGAGGCGAGCGUUGUUCGGAAUCACUGGGCUUAAAGCGGGUGUAGGCGGAAUGGAAGGUGCACUGUGAAAGCCCUCGGCUCAACCGAGGAAUUGCAUGGCAAACCGCCAUUCUUGAGGCAGGUAGGGGCAGAUGGAACCAUGGGUGGAGCGGUGAAAUGCGUAGAUAUCCAUGGGAACGCCGGUGGCGAAAGCGAUUUGCUGGGCCUGUCCUGACGCUGAGACCCGAAAGCGUGGGUAGCAAACAGGAUUAGAUACCCCCGUA
rnacentral:rRNA from 1 species